AUGGGUAACUUGCCCCGGGGACCGGGAUAGCCCUCCUAACGGAGGGGUAAUACCGGGCGUCGUGAUAGGGAGGCAUCUCUUUGUCACGAAAGGAGUUUCGCCCCGGGAGAGGCUCAUGUGGUAUUAGCUUGUUGGUGAGGUAACGGCUCACCAAGGCCAAGAUGCCUAGCGGGUGUGAGAGCACGACCCGCGCCACUGGCACUGUGACACUGGCCAGACUCCUACGGGAGGCUGCAGUCGAGGAUCUUCGGCAAUGGGCGCAAGCCUGACCGAGCGACGCCGCGUGCGCGAUGAAGGCCUUCGGGUUGUAAAGCGCUGUCGAGGGGGAGAAAGGCCCGCAAGGGCUUGAUCGACCCCUGGAGGAAGCACGGGCUAAGUUCGUGCCAGCAGCCGCGGUAAGACGAACCGUGCGAACGUUGUUCGGAUUCACUGGGCUUAAAGGGCGCGUAGGCGGGCCGUAAAGUCGGGGGUGAAAUCUUUCAGCUCAACUGGAAAAGAGCCUUCGAUACUGACGGCCUC
rnacentral:rRNA from 1 species